rnacentral:rRNA from 1 species
CGCGUAGGCGGGAUGGCAAGUCGGUCGUGAAAUCCCUCGGCUCAACCGAGGAGCGUCGGCCGAUACUGCCGUUCUUGAGGGAUGCAGAGGAGACUGGAAUUCCCGGUGUAGCGGUGAAAUGUGUAGAGAUCGGGAGGAACACCGGUGGCGAAGGCGGGUCUCUGGGCAUCUCCUGACGCUGAGGCGCGAAAGCGUGGGAGCAAAC